rnacentral:rRNA from 1 species
AUGAACGCUAGCUACAGGCUUAACACAUGCAAGUCGAGGGGCAGCAUCAUCAAAGCUUGCUUUGAUGGAUGGCGACCGGCGCACGGGUGAGUAACACGUAUCCAACCUGCCGACAACACUGGGAUAGCCUUUCGAAAGAAAGAUUAAUACCGGAUGGCAUAGUUUUCCCGCAUGGGAUAAUUAUUAAAGAAUUUCGGUUGUCGAUGGGGAUGCGUUCCAUUAGGCAGUUGGCGGGGUAACGGCCCACCAAACCUACGAUGGAUAGGGGUUCUGAGAGGAAGGUCCCCCACAUUGGAACUGAGACACGGUCCAAACUCCUACGGGAGGCAGCAGUGAGGAAUAUUGGUCAAUGGACGAGAGUCUGAACCAGCCAAGUAGCGUGAAGGAUGACUGCCCUAUGGGUUGUAAACUUCUUUUAUACGGGAAUAAAGUGAGCCACGUGUGGCUUUUUGUAUGUACCGUAUGAAUAAGGAUCGGCUAACUCCGUGCCAGCAGCCGCGGUAAUACGGAGGAUCCGAGCGUUAUCCGGAUUUAUUGGGUUUAAAGGGAGCGUAGGCGGGUUGUUAAGUCAGUUGUGAAAGUUUGCGGCUCAACCGUAAAAUUGCAGUUGAUACUGGCGACCUUGAGUGCAACAGAGGUAGGCGGAAUUCGUGGUGUAGCGGUGAAAUGCUUAGAUAUCACGAAGAACUCCGAUUGCGAAGGCAGCUUACUGGAUUGUAACUGACGCUGAUGCUCGAAAGUGUGGGUAUCAAACAGGAUUAGAUACCCUGGUAGUCCACACAGUAAACGAUGAAUACUCGCUGUUGGCGAUAUACAGUCAGCGGCCAAGCGAAAGCAUUAAGUAUUCCACCUGGGGAGUACGCCGGCAACGGUGAAACUCAAAGGAAUUGACGGGGGCCCGCACAAGCGGAGGAACAUGUGGUUUAAUUCGAUGAUACGCGAGGAACCUUACCCGGGCUUAAAUUGCAACUGACGGAACCGGAAACGGUUCUUUCUUCGGACAGUUGUGAAGGUGCUGCAUGGUUGUCGUCAGCUCGUGCCGUGAGGUGUCGGCUUAAGUGCCAUAACGAGCGCAACCCUUACGGGUAGUUACCAUCAGGUUAUGCUGGGGACUCUACCCGGACUGCCGUCGUAAGGUGUGAGGAAGGUGGGGAUGACGUCAAAUCAGCACGGCCCUUACGUCCGGGGCUACACACGUGUUACAAUGGGGGGUACAGAAGGCAGCUACACGGCGACGUGGUGCUAAUCCCAAAAGCCUCUCUCAGUUCGGAUUGGGGUCUGCAACCCGACUCCAUGAAGCUGGAUUCGCUAGUAAUCGCGCAUCAGCCACGGCGCGGUGAAUACGUUCCCGGGCCUUGUACACACCGCCCGUCAAGCCAUGAAAGCCGGGGGUACCUGAAGUACGUAACCGCGAGGAGCGUCCUAGGGUAAAACUGGUGAUUGGGGCU